rnacentral:rRNA from 1 species
CCUACGGGAGGCAGCAGUGGGGGAUAUUGGACAAUGGGGGAAACCCUGAUCCAGCGACGCCGCGUGAGUGAAGAAGUAUUUCGGUAUGUAAAGCUCUGUCAGCAGGGAAGAAAGAAAUGACGGUACCUGACCAAGAAGCCCCGGCUAACUACGUGCCAGCAGCCGCGGUAAUACGUAGGGAGCGAGCGUUGUCCGGAAUUACUGGGUGUAAAGGGAGCGUAGGCGGGGAUGCAAGUUGGGUGUCAAAACUACCGGCUCAACUGGUAGUCGCACUCCAAACU